UGUGACCAUGGCUUAUUCCAGAGUUGCCUUA
rnacentral:piRNA from 1 species